rnacentral:sRNA from 1 species
AGGGAGAUCUGGCUGUGACAUCAGUCACCCCAUUGAUCGCCAGAGUUGACUCAACUGUUCAUGGCGGGGUCCCCUUCCUUCCU